rnacentral:rRNA from 1 species
GAUGAACGCUGGCGGCGUGCUUAACACAUGCAAGUCGAACGGUGAAGCAGGAGCUUGCUCUUGUGGAUCAGUGGCGAACGGGUGAGUAACACGUGAGAAACCUGCCCCUGACUCUGGGAUAAGCGCUGGAAACGGUGUCUAAUACUGGAUAUGUGAUGUGACCGCAUGGUCUGCAUCUGGAAAGAAUUUCGGUUGGGGAUGGGCUCGCGGCCUAUCAGCUUGUUGGUGAGGUAAUGGCUCACCAAGGCGUCGACGGGUAGCCGGCCUGAGAGGGUGACCGGCCACACUGGGACUGAGACACGGCCCAGACUCCUACGGGAGGCAGCAGUGGGGAAUAUUGCACAAUGGGCGGAAGCCUGAUGCAGCAACGCCGCGUGAGGGAUGACGGCCUUCGGGUUGUAAACCUCUUUUAGCAGGGAAGAAGCGAAAGUGACGGUACCUGCAGAAAAAGCACCGGCUAACUACGUGCCAGCCGCCGCAGUAA